rnacentral:rRNA from 1 species
UACGGAGGAUGCAAGCGUUAUCCGGAUUUAUUGGGUUUAAAGGGUGCGUAGGCGGGACAAUAAGUCAGUGGUGAAAGCCUGCGGCUUAACCGUAGAAUUGCCAUUGAUACUGCUGUUCUUGAGUACAGUUGAGGUGGGCGGAAUGUGUAAUGUAGCGGUGAAAUGCUUAGAUAUUACACAGAACACCGAUUGCGAAGGCAGCUCACUAAGCUGUUACUGACGCUGAGGCACGAAAGCGUGGGGAGCAAACAGG